CACGUAGGGGGACGAGCGUUGUCCGGAUUCAUUGGGCGUAAAGGGCGCGUAGGCGUUCUGUUUGUCGAGUGUGAAAGCCCACGGCUCAACCGUGGAGGGUCAUUGGAAACUGGGGGAACUUGAGUGCAGAAGAGGAUAGUGGAAUUCCAAGUGUAGCGGUGAAAUGCGUAGAGAUUUGGAGGAACACCAGUGGCGAAGGCGACUAUCUGGUCUGUAACUGACACUGAGGCGCGAAAGCGUGGGGAGCA
rnacentral:rRNA from 1 species